rnacentral:rRNA from 1 species
UACGUAGGGUGCAAGCGUUAAUCGGAAUUACUGGGCGUAAAGCGUGCGCAGGCGGUUAUGCAAGACAGAGGUGAAAUCCCCGGGCUCAACCCGGGAACUGCCUUUGUGACUGCAUGGCUAGAGUACGGUAGAGGGGAAUGGAAUUCCGCGUGUAGCAGUGAAAUGCGUAGAUAUGCGGAGGAACACCGAUGGCGAAGGCAAUUCCCUGGACCUGUACUGACGCUCAUGCACGAAAGCGUGGGGAGCAAACAGG